UAAUACGUAGGGUGCGAGCGUUGUCCGGAAUUAUUGGGCGUAAAGAGCUUGUAGGCGGUCUGUCGCGUCUGCUGUGAAAAUCCGGGGCUCAACCCCGGACUUGCAGUGGGUACGGGCAGACUAGAGUGUGGUAGGGGAGACUGGAAUUCCUGGUGUAGCGGUGAAAUGCGCAGAUAUCAGGAGGAACACCGAUGGCGAAGGCAGGUCUCUGGGCCACUACUGACGCUGAGAAGCGAAAGCAUGGGGAGCGAACAGG
rnacentral:rRNA from 1 species